rnacentral:rRNA from 1 species
CUUUUGUAUAAUGGGUCAGCGACUUAUAUUCUGUAGCAAGGUUAACCGAAUAGGGGAGCCGAAGGGAAACCGAGUCUUAACUGGGCGUUAAGUUGCAGGGUAUAGACCCGAAACCCGGUGAUCUAGCCAUGGGCAGGUUGAAGGUUGGGUAACACUAACUGGAGGACCGAACCGACUAAUGUUGAAAAAUUAGCGGAUGACUUGUGGCUGGGGGUGAAAGGCCAAUCAAACCGGGAGAUAGCUGGUUCUCCCCGAAAGCUAUUUAGGUAGCGCCUCGUGAAUUCAUCUCCGGGGGUAGAGCACUGUUUCGGCAAGGGGGUCAUCCCGACUUACCAACCCGAUGCAAACUGCGAAUACCGGAGAAUGUUAUCACGGGAGACACACGGCGGGUGCUAACGUCCGUCGUGAAGAGGGAAACAACCCAGACCGCCAGCUAAGGUCCCAAAGUCAUGGUUAAGUGGGAAACGAUGUGGGAAGGCCCAGACAGCCAGGAUGUUGGCUUAGAAGCAGCCAUCAUUUAAAGAAAGCGUAAUAGCUCACUGGUCGAGUCGGCCUGCGCGGAAGAUGUAACGGGGCUAAACCAUG